rnacentral:sRNA from 1 species
CUCCGAAGUCCCCAGCGUUUUUCUUCCUCUCCAGCUCCUAACCAAACCUCUCCUUCCCCCUCCUCCCCCCUCCUUUCUCCUUGAUUCUCAUCACGUUUUGAUGAUAAAUUGUUCCUGCUUCCCACACCAAACCUCUCUCUCCUUCUUUCUUUCUCCUUCAUUCUCAUCACGUUUUGAUAACAAAAUUGCUGCAGGGUCUUGUCUCCUCACGAGUCCUGACAUGACCUAUACUAAGCAUAGCAUAGCAGCUAGCGGAGGAGUACUCUCUUGAAUCUUUGAGGACCGGUUGGUUCAAAUGGCUAGAAAGCCAAAGAAAACCAUCUUUUAUCAAGAUCCUCGCCGGUGACUUCUCUCUGUCUGAUCUAAGAAACGGUGACCGCGGGGUUUCAGGCCAAUUUUCGGCCAAGAGGUAAAAAUGAUCCUCUCCUCGUGGCCGUUCCCUAGUAUUGGGGACGAAGAAGGUUGCCUGGGCCGAGAAGAAUGGAAGCCUUGGAAGGUUGUGGGUGAAACUAAGGUGAACAAGGUUCUUCUAAAAAAACUAAGGUGAAUAGGGUGAUUUUCUCCUUAACCACAAGUUCCAAUUUCAGUUGUUGCUUCUUUUAAAAAAUGAAAAAGCUCGUCCGAAACAAUUUGUCAAUAGCGAAUGCAUUGAGGGAGUCUUCCCUCCUUGUUGUGAGUUCGAUUGGAAAGGUGUAACGGAUUCAUCCCCUUCCAUUAACUGAAAACAGGGAUCCAAAGUUUUCAGAGCCACCAAGUCUAUCUAUAUUCACCAAGUCCAUCUCUAUUUCCAGUGCCUAGUUUCCAAAGGCGAAGUUGAGCCAGCCGCUCCGUCCUCCUGUCACCAACGAGCGUCAAACUAUACCUCCAGAAUCCUCUUCCCUUCCUCUUUCCAACCCUCAAGUUAGUUUCUCCAAAUUUGUAGCCGAAUUUUCUCAAUUUCAGAUCUAAGAAAUGGUGACUGUGGGUAUUCCGGCCAAUUUCCGGCAUAGUCUGCCGUAAUUGGAUCUCAACCAAGAGAUUAGGGACGAGGAAGGUGAAUCAUUGUUGUUUCCAACCUGGGCCGAGAAGAAUGGAAGCCUUGGAAGGUUGUGGGUGAAACUAAGUUUGAACUCCCAUCGCGGCAUCAUCAUCUGCUCUUGCUGCUGCUGCCUUUGAUGCAGAAGUUCUCAACCAUUACAUCGGAAUCAAAAUUCUGGUCAAGGUCCCCACACACGUCUAAAGCUCCGUUUGGUUUUGGUGGAUGAAUGAAACUACCAUUUUAAGGCUCUCCUCUGUCUUUAAUUCAUUGAUUGGGAAGCAGCUGAAAAAACCACCACCAGCAGAAAAAAACCCAUCAAACUUAUCCAAUUUCCCAGGUAGAGAUAGCAAUUACUGAGGCUCAAGUAUUAUGAGGAGCAUGUCAAUCUUAAAAAACAUGUUUGAAGGUGUUCAAGAAAAUGUGAAGUCUUUUAAGUGGCAAUUUCCUUCAAAUUUGGUGCCUGUUUUGUACUUUGACGGAAGUUCCGUUAGUCGGGGCCGUACUUAUUUGCAGUAUUGGGCGUUUUCACCAGUCACUGUGUGAGCAGUCGUGGUGACUGAAGGUUGCAUGCAGCUGCAGUACUAUGCUUUUAAGCUUGCUUCUGCUGCAAGGUAAGAUAACAGAUGGGAGUCCAUAUAUACAAAAUAUGGGGUGUCCUAUAUUGUCGAUACAAAAGCAGUGUUGGUCUACAGUAAACUAAACUCUCCGUCGAUGCUUUUCCAUUUGAUACAGAAACCAUGGCAUCCAUGAGGCUUUGCUUUAUAGCUGCUACUCUAAGCCGCCAGACUAAGUAGCCCUUACCAUAAUGCAAUGCCAUAACCGUUUCUGGUUUCUGCUAAGGUGUUUCAUCUGUCCAUGAAUUCCAACACUGCCAAAACGAAGGGGGAGAAAAAGUUGUUGUUAUUGUCACUUUCUACGCAUAAAUUCUUUAUCGGUUCUUGAGUGACAGAAGACCAUCACCUGGAGACGAGAAUGUAAGAAUCUUAUUUGGACUUAACAAGUUGUGAUAAAGGAGAGGUUACAUGUUGAUAAUAUAAUCCUAUAGAGUUUGAAUAUGUGGAAAAGUUAACAUCCUAUUUUUGAACUUCGAAGUUAAGCGAGAAGGAGGCCAGAGCACUCCCAGGAUGGGUGACCUACUGGGAAGUUGCUCGUGAGUUCCCAAAAACA